GGUCAAUGAUGUCAUGGCAUGUAUUAGCUGAAUUCAAAUCGAUGUCAAUUGUAAAAAAAAUAAAUAAAAAUAAAAUGAAAAAUACCUA